CCUACGGGCGGCAGCAGUGAGGAAUAUUGGUCAAUGGACGAGAGUCUGAACCAGCCAAGUAGCGUGAAGGAUGACUGCCCUAUGGGUUGUAAACUUCUUUUAUAUGGGAAUAAAAUGUUCCACGUGUGGGAUUUUGUAUGUACCAUAUGAAUAAGGAUCGGCUAACUCCGUGCCAGCAGCCGCGGUAAUACGGAGGAUCCGAGCGUUAUCCGGAUUUAUUGGGUUUAAAGGGAGCGUAGGUGGAUUGUUAAGUCAGUUGUGAAAGUUUGCGGCUCAACCGUAAAAUUGCAGUUGAAACUGGCAGUCUUGAGUACAGUAGAGGUGGGCGGAAUUCGUGGUGUAGCGGUGAAAUGCUUAGAUAUCACGAAGAACUCCGAUUGCGAAGGCAGUUCACUAGACUGCAACUGACACUGAGGCUCGAAAGUGUGGGUAUCAAACAGGAUUAGAUACCCCUGUAGUC
rnacentral:rRNA from 1 species